rnacentral:misc_RNA from 1 species
CGCAGCCGCGGUAAUUCCAGCUCCAAUAGCGUAUAUUAAAGUUGUUGUGGUUAAAAAGCUCGUAGUUGAACCUUGGGCCUGGCUGGCCGGUCCGCCUCACCGCGUGUACUGGUCCGGCCGGGCCUUUCCCUCUGUGGAACCCCAUGCCCUUCACUGGGUGUGGCGGGGAAACAGGACUUUUACUUUGAAAAAUUAGAGUGCUCCAGGCAGGCCUAUGCUCGAAUACAUUAGCAUGGAAUAAUAGAAUAGGACGUGUGGUUCUAUUUUGUUGGUUUCUAGGACCGCCGUAAUGAUUAAUAGGGACAGUCGGGGGCAUCAGUAUUCAAUUGUCAGAGGUGAAAUUCUUGGAUUUAUUGAAGACUAACUACUGCGAAAGCACUUGCCAAGGAUGUUUUCAUUAAUCAGGAACGAAAGUUAGGGGAUCGAAGACGAUCAGAUACCGUCGUAGUCUUAACCAUAAACUAUGCCGACUAGGGAUCGGACGAUGUUAUUUUUGACUCGUUCGGCACCUUACGGGAAA